GCCUGCAUCUUGGGCACUCAGUCGAAGAGGAGGCCCAGAGUUACCAGAAUUUGGGGGGAAUUUGGGAGGCUCCUGGCCAAAACACAGGGCCAAGCCUCUCUCCUCAGCCCUGAUCAGCCCUCCUCUGACCUCCCGUCCAGGGGUCUCACCAGCCACAGGGUUCCACGGGAAGAGACAAGAGUGAGAGCAGGGGGCCAGGAGGGGAUUGCGUGCAGUGUGGGGGGCUGCACAAGCAAAGGACCACCUAGGCACGUUCUCCCCACGGCCUGGCAGUGAGUCCCCAAGGACUCGGCAGGCUUCAUCUUCCUUAAUUUGCAUUACAGCCCCCUGAGGUAGGCUCUCCAGUCACACAACUAGGAAGGGGGAAAGCAGGUUUGGUUUCCGGUCCGUCUGUCUCCCUUGCAGAGCCUCUAAUGAAGGGUGACAGAGAAGGGGGACCCUGUGGUUUUCAGGGGAUCUCCCGGGCAAGUCCCAGACCCUGGCAAAGGUCCUGGGUGCAGAACCCUGACAACCCACAUCUGGGUCCUCCCCGCUCUGGGACUCGCGUAUCACGUUUUAAUCACUGCAUCUAACUUUUGCGCAAGACGCUCCCAUUUACAAAGCGCCUUCUGUGGCUAUUACUCAUUUGUUGAACCCCCAGGAGCUCCCUGGGGAGGCUGACGCUUAGUAUCUCUUUUUGAAGAUGAGGAAACGAAGGCUCAGAGAGGUGAGCCCCUUUCCUGGGUUGCCAGUGGAAGAUGGAGAGCCAGAACUCAAAGGGAGGUCUGCGGGGCCCGGGGGUGCAGAGCGGCUGCUGCGUGCUCUGACCUCUCGAAGGGGAGAGUCAUCGUUUACCCCAUCCUCUGCAGUGUUCCGAGCCAUGCUGCCUGCUUCCCGAGAGUGGAGAGGUUUCCGGCAGGUACCCAAGCUGGUCAUGUCACAGCCCUGCUUGGAACCGUGGCUGUCAUCCCCAGGGUCAAGGGCUGCCCAGCUGGCAGAAGCAUCGGGAGGUCUGAAUAAUGAAUACAUGAAUAAAUUAUUAUUCACCAUGGUGAGAGACGAGAACAGCACCAGAUUUUGAGUUGAGCUUGGAAGGCUAAAGAAACCAAACCGGAAAUGCUCUGGCUUCUAGAGGCUAGGAGAAGAGAAAGAACCAAGGAGGCUAAUUCAUCCUCCCCAGCAAGGGCAGGUGUAAGCCUAUGUGUCCUCAGAAGAGCCAGACAGUGGACCUCCUGCUCCUCCUGUGGACCUCCUCCUAAGACAAAGAUGUCUUAGUGGACAUCUUUGUCAGGACACACAAUGAGGACGAGCAUAGCUGGCUGCCUUGACGCCAUCGGCCUACAGUCAGUCUGUCUGUGGCAAUCAGCGACCCUCUCCGACUCCUGCUUCUGUUUGUUCUAGUAACUCAAGACCACAAUGGUCACCUCCAUCCGUUCUUCCUGGCCAGUGAAUUGGUUCCCAAGAAUUGGAGACUGCUUCAAAUGACCGGCAUGCUUCCCUAUGCUGCCUGUCCAUCAUCCACACGGCAAACAUUCACUGAACACCUAGUGUCUCCGAAACACCGUUGGGUGGCAGUGGCAUACUGAAGUCGCCCGGGGCCUCGAGGACUCGAAGCUAAUCCCUCCAGUUCCCUUCGUGUAAAGAGGAGACAUUGAGAAUGCAGUCCACACCUUCAAGGGACUUACAGCCUCAAGGGAUUAACCACCUGACAAUGUGAUUGAGUGGGUCCCUUCCCUUCUCUGGGCCUUAGGCUCCUGCUGGGCGGUAACAGGGAGGUAUCAGGCUCUCUGACCUUGAGUCCUUAACGGGACUCACCUAAUUCCAAAGUAGGUUCUACGCAUAAGGUCACUGGGUUAUGCGCAGGUAGGACAGGUGCCAGGAAACCUACCAAUUGGAUAAUUAGGCUUGCCCCGACCCCUCGUCCCUCGAGGGAGCAUAUGGGCUGGUCCUCAGCUCCCCUCCCCGCAGCAGCGGGCGGAAGUGUCGGGCGCUGCGGGGGUCCCCUGGUGGAAUGUGGCUAUGGUGGGCGCUGGGUCCGAGGGCUCGGCUGACAGAUCUAAGGCUGCCGCCCGCCACCAGCUCUCCAUAGGGCGGCCUGCCGGCCUCCCUCCUGUGGAAUGACGAGCCCUGCUCACCCCCCCUACCUGGCGUUUAAUCUUUAAUGCAGCCCCAGCUGCCCUGGGGCAGGACCCAUCAACCCACCCGCUCUGAUAAAAGCGAUAAUUAGCUCUUUUUCAACUUUUCACUUCUCCCCCCCUCCACUCUGAUGUGUGAGCAUUGGGAGAAUUCCAGCUAAUGGGUCUGCCCUCAGCCAAUUCCCCGGCCCAUGCAGGCCGGAAUGCACGGGGUCAUUAGCCGGGCCUCCCGGGCAGGGGCCUGUGCUUGGGACGUGCUUGUCUGCCUGCUCUGGGGUGCCCCAGCCACCCAGGAGAGGGCCCGGCCUCGGCAGAGCGGACCUGCCCAGACCUGCUGGAUCCCACUGUCCUCAGUGGUGGCCCCUUCCUGCACCUUCAGAGAGACCCCUGAGAGGUGGCCCGAGGCUCCCACGGGGCCAGACUGAGAGGACAGGAGGCCACCCGUCCCCAGGCAUCGCCCCCUGCUUCCAGGGCAGGGAGCCCAGCUCGGGUUCAGCCACCGGUCAGUGUGGAGGCUGCUGGCUGGGAUCCCCCCAGUCCCGCCCCAUCAGUGACUUGUAAUAACUAACUUGUGUGCUGUGCCUGUCCCGUUCAAAGUGCUUCCAGAUAACUUAGCUCAGAGGUGGCUGCAGCCCAGGGCUUAACGGUGCAGGCUCAGGGCUACUCCUCGGAACCGGGGAUGGAGGCGGCAGGGGAGGAUGGGUGCAAUUCUGGCUUAGCUCCUUUUCUCUUCCUCUCUGACCGGCUCGGGCCAAUGCUCAUAAUCUUGUUGGCCACCUAGAACCAUGGGGCUCCCGUCAUUAACACCGCAGGUUGAGAGGCACCCAAUUAACCAGAGCUACGGGAGUCUAGAGCUACUGCCUUCAAGGAUCAAAAACAGGGUCCGUGAUGCCUAAGAUCAGAGGUUACCAUUUAGCCAAUGCCUCCUUCAUCUAAAAGCCCAGGGCUACCUUUACCUAGAAACCCAGGGCCAUCCACCCUGGUGCUGUUGACCCUUGCAACCAUCUAGACCCACAGGACAUAGGCACCUAGUACCCAGAAUAGCCCACACAGGACUGCUAUCAACCAAACCUCAGGGUCAUUGCGAGCCAGCAAGUUGAACCACAAAGUUACCGAUGUCUUGGACUUGUAGCGGAUUGAGAAACUUUGUGGUAAGGUCACACUGACACUUAGCACAGGGCUUCUCUUGGAUAGGCUCUGGGUAGGUUUUCCUUUACUGACUCUGCAGCAAUAAGAUAUCACAGAGUCUUCCGGGUGGCUUCUCCCACCACAUGAACUUCUUCCACUCACUCAGCUGGGUCCUGAAUUCUCACCGCGAACUUUUCAGAGGAAAACAGCUAGUGUGUAUCAUGGGAGUGAGUUCUGCACACCUAGAAUCCAUCCCGGAGUGGGGUCUGUUCAACAAGAGGGGGUGUGCGUGCCCUUUGAACAGAGUCUCCUCAUUUUCUAGAAAGUUAUUUUGAGGAGUAGGAUCCAAGGACUUCCUGGAAGAGGCAGCAUUAGUUCCUCAGAGACAGAGCAGACCAUUAUCAGGGACAGGGACUCCCUAAAUCACAGGCUCUCCAUCCCAUCCACCCCAGAGCUAACAUUUCUGCAUGUUUUUUAGCCUUGGACAUGACUGUGACCUUGCUGAGAUACCCGACAGGAGACGUGGAAAUGGAUUCUUCUCUAUUUCCCCACCUUCUCCUAGCCAACAAAUACACAGCUUCAGAAUAUCAAAAAUGUCCAUGAAUUUCCAAGCUUUUAACAGUGGAAAUCUUAGUAAUUUCAAUUUUUAGAAAAGGUAUCCA